GAUCCUGGCUCAGAUUGAACGCUGGCGGCAGGCCUAACACAUGCAAGUCGAACGGUAACAGGAAGAAGCUUGCUUCUUUGCUGACGAGUGGCGGACGGGUGAGUAAUGUCUGGGAAACUGCCUGAUGGAGGGGGAUAACUACUGGAAACGGUAGCUAAUACCGCAUAACGUCGCAAGACCAAAGAGGGGGACCUUCGGGCCGUCUUGCCAUCGGAUGUGCCCAGAUGGGAUUAGCUAGUAUGG
rnacentral:rRNA from 1 species